rnacentral:misc_RNA from 1 species
UUUGAUAUUUAUCUUAAUUAUGGAACCUUGUCGUUUCCUGUGUGAAUCUGGCCACUUUAUCAGUAUUUUAGGCCUGUAAAAGUCUCUGAACUGUCCAGACGUUAUUUAACCGAUAGAAACUGUGGCCAAUCACGAUGUAAGUUUUGAUAGUAUUGUUUUAAAACUAUAUGUUAAGAGAAAUUAAUUAUGAACCUUUUUAUGUUCAUUUAUGCGUGCUGAACUAUGUUUUUAAUUUGUUGACAAACAUAUAUUUAUUGUACGUAUUCAUUUAUUUGUAUUUUUAUAUUUGUUUGUUGUAGCUUUUUACCAUUCACACAAACUUCAUUUCACCACUCAAGUGACAUUGUGCGCAUACCAGGAGCCGCGCUUUCCCAUGUUAAUGUCGUGGAUAAUAAAAUGAAACUGGUUAACUAAC